rnacentral:rRNA from 1 species
AGAGUUUGAUCCUGGCUCAGAUUGAACGCUGGCGGCAGGCCUAACACAUGCAAGUCGAACGGUAGCACAGAGAGCUUGCUCUCGGGUGACGAGUGGCGGACGGGUGAGUAAUGUCUGGGAAACUGCCUGAUGGAGGGGGAUAACUACUGGAAACGGUAGCUAAUACCGCAUAACGUCGCAAGACCAAAGAGGGGGACCUUCGGGCCUCUUGCCAUCAGAUGUGCCCAGAUGGGAUUAGCUAGUAGGUGGGGUAACGGCUCACCUAGGCGACGAUCCCUAGCUGGUCUGAGAGGAUGACCAGCCACACUGGAACUGAGACACGGUCCAGACUCCUACGGGAGGCAGCAGUGGGGAAUAUUGCACAAUGGGCGCAAGCCUGAUGCAGCCAUGCCGCGUGUAUGAAGAAGGCCUUCGGGUUGUAAAGUACUUUCAGCGGGGAGGAAGGGGAUAAGGUUAAUAACCUUGUUCAUUGACGUACCCGCAGAAGAGC